rnacentral:rRNA from 1 species
UGCUAUCGGAUUGAUACUAAGCCAUGCGAGUCUUUGUAGCAAUACAAGGCGGACUGCUCAGUAACACGUAGUCAAUCUAACCUAUGGACGGGGAUAACCUCGGGAAACUGAGAAUAAUACCCGAUAGAUCAUUAUUCCUGGAAUGGUUUAUGGUUCAAAUGAUUCGUCGCCAUAGGAUGGGACUGCGGUCUAUCAGCUUGUUGGUGAGGUAAUGGCUCACCAAGGCUAUAACAGAUACGGGCUCUGAGAGGAGAGGCCCGGAGAUGGGUACUGAGACACGGACCCAGGCCCUAUGGGGCGCAGCAGGCGAGAAAACUUUGCAAUGUGCGAAAGCACGACAAGGUUAAUCCGAGUGGUUUCUGCUAAAGAGAUCUUUUGUCAGUCCUAAAAACACUGAUGAAUAAGGGGUGGGCAAGUUCUGGUGUCAGCCGCCGCGGUAAAACCAGCACCUCAAGUGGUCAGGAGGAUUAUUGGGCCUAAAGCAUCCGUAGCCGGCUGUGUAAGUUUUCGGUUAAAUCUACAUGCUCAACAUGUAGGCUGCCGGGAAUACUGUACAGCUAGGGAGUGGGAGAGGUAGACGGUACUCCGUAGGAAGGGGUAAAAUCCUUUUGAUCUAUGGAUGACCACCCUGUGGCGGGAGGCGGUCUACUAGAACACGUCCCGACGGUGAGGGAUGAAAAGCUGGGGGAGCAAACCCGGAUUAGAUACCCGGGUAGUCCCAGCUGUAAACAAAUGCAAACUC